UGGGGUAUAGCUCAGUGGUAGAGUGUGUGCUUAGCAUCCUCAAGGUCCUGGGUUCAGUCCUCAGUACCUCAG
rnacentral:tRNA from 1 species